UCCGACCAGCGGUGGCUGCUCAGUAGUGUUACCAUCGAUGGCCGCGACAAGUUUUGUCACCCGUCUGACAAUCACUGGCUCUCGGUGUCUAACGGUGGCCAUUGUCGUCGUUGUCAUUUCAGAUCUCUUUUCCAAAUGACGACUUCCUUAUCAGUGGCAAUCAGGUCCAAUCGAGGGGCGAGUACCGUCGCUCGGCUUGGGGCUCGGUGAUGCCAAUCAUCUUUGCGACCAGUGAUGACUAUAAGUAACACAUAGUCACUGUUGCGUCUGGUCGUUUUCGUUCUCUGGUUCAGCCAGUAAUAGUCCAAACGACAAGAAGUCAGAAAGCCCGAGAGUGGGCAUUAUCUAUAGCUUUGCCAAUAGCUGCUGGAUUAGGUACUAGUUAGUCGUUGUGCCUGUGUGAGACCUGUGUUCGUGCGCGGGAUUUGGGGAGACCCUCAUUCAUUUCUAGAUGCAUGUGUAUAUACAUUGGCUAGAGGAUAAAUUAGACGGGGCUCGGAGGGAACCUUCACAAGACACUGGAACGUUAGAAAGCAAAUUUGUAAAGGCCAUGGUCGUUACGGCUGCAGCCGUUACAAUUACUAUUGUCACUUCCCAUAAGGACGUCGAACGGCUGUGUUCAGGCAAGUUACUAAAUAAAUUCACUAGAAAAUGGAUGACGUCAAUUUGAACGUAUGUUGCGUUGUGUGAGGAUGUAUAUGCCAAUGGCAAUAGUUUUUCAUUGAAUGCUUUUUUACAGACAAAGCAGAAAGGGCGCUGAUUCCGUUAGGUUUACGGAGGUAUCUGUUCUUCAAGCGCUUGUUGGGCGUCCGGGCGGAUUAUUAUUAAACAGCGAUGCAAAGCAAAUGGUUGUCUCGUUCCGACCUCGAAGACAAAAACGUAGUGAGUGUAAGAGAACCUGUCACUUCGUGCAGUAUUAAGGCGCGCUGGAGAUUGCUUCGUAGGUCGGUUGACGUGCGUGACUCGGAACGACGUCACAUGCUUCUUGGCCAUCAGUUUUAAGGUCCCAACAUUUGAGCCAAUCUUUACUGGCAUGUUCGAGUAAGAAUCUGGCUCGGCCAGAAAAUAAAAAACAUGCUCAACAGCGAAAUAAGUCAUCUUGUGAGCCUAUCUAUGAAGCCUCGAAAAAAAAAAGCCUGAUUACAAUCGAAUAGCACAGAUCUCCUAGACGGUAAAAAGAUCCUACCGGAAGAGUUACGUUUGAGUCUGCAACCGAAUCUUUCACGGACGGUUAGUACUGUCAAAUUCUAACCGAGACAACACAUUUUUAGACGAUCACUUUUGUCAAUCGUACUAAUAAUUUGCCAUGGUAGUAAAGUGGCAGUCCAACCGUGUUCGAGCUUUGACUCAAGCUAUACGGUGGUACCUCAGGUUUCAAUAAUCUAAAUAAAUCGCGCGUCCAUCUUUAUCACCAGACAUGGAAAGCGUACGAAACCGCUGGAUGGGUCUAGAAAACAAGUACGCCUUGCUACAUGGAACCGAUUGUUGAUAAUGAUACUGAACGAUAAAGAUAGCUUUGGUGUUAUCUUUUAAUAUGUGCUCUCGCGGGCUAGUUUAUUAUCUCAGCAGAGCUGCUCUAUGUCAAUAUCGUCUGCUAGACAUUCACAUGCCGAUGGUCACCAAACGGUAGCACUAAGCGGAAUUACCUCACAAGUACGAUAUGUAGCAUUACAAAUGUCAGAGGAAAAACAAGCCACCACUGUAACUGUUUCUUUUGUCAAGUUUGUUAUCGGCCGCGAGAUUAGUACGACGCCACUAGCGAUGUUAGUCGAAUGCUAUAAACUAGUGAAGUAAAGUUAUCAACGGGCAAGAUAGUAACUUCCAACACUCACAGUAAUUGUACAGCAUCUGUCAUUAGUCUAGGGGUUACGGAAGAUUAAAAAGCCAUUUACGGAAAAUGCCCUAUCUCCCGGUAACGAAACAGAUAUUAAGAUAUAAUUAUAGUAGCAGUGAAACAAAGAUAUAACCUGAAUAAGUCUGCUGGUUGCUAUACAUUAGCAUAUGACUUUUUAUCACUAGAAUAGGUCAGGAUGAUAACGAACUGCCCGUUAAUUUUGUUUACCAUAAUGGCCACACUCUUAAAAAAAGUUUGAAGAUAUCGCAAGGUGGAUUCGAUUCGUAUCUGUUAAUCUGGGGUGAAGACCGAUUUCGGAUCCCCCUGCUUCAAUAAGCAGUUCUCAGCAGGCUGGCUCUCUCGGCUGGUUGUGCAUCGACCCAGUUAAAACAAUUAAUAAAAAAAAAAAAUAGCUUGUCAUACAAAUAAGAAGCCUUCAUUUUCCAAAAGCCAAUAAAAUAACUAUUUGAUAUAUUUGUUUUAUGUUAUUAUUGAACCGUCCCAAACAAUUGAAACAUUGAAAACAAUGACAACGUAUUGUCUGCUUGAAAAAUUUGAA